rnacentral:rRNA from 1 species
UGGGGAAUAUUGGACAAUGGGCGCAAGCCUGAUCCAGCCAUGCCGCGUGAGUGAUGAAGGCCUUAGGGUUGUAAAGCUCUUUCAGUAGGGACGAUAAUGACGGUACCUACAGAAGAAGCCCCGGCUAACUUCGUGCCAGCAGCCGCGGUAAUACGAAGGGGGCUAGCGUUGUUCGGAUUUACUGGGCGUAAAGCGCACGUAGGCGGAUCGUUAAGUCGGGGGUGAAAUCCUGGAGCUCAACUCCAGAACUGCCUUCGAUACUGGCGAUCUUGAGUCCGGAAGAGGUGAGUGGAACUCCUAGUGUAGAGGUGGAAUUCGUAGAUAUUAGGAAGAACACCAGUGGCGAAGGCGACUUUCUGGCUCGUUUCUGACGCUCAUGCACGAAAGCGUGGGGAGCAAACA